CUCUCUUUGCCUGCUGCCAUCCACGUGACUUUCUCCUCCGUGCCUUCUGUCAUGAUUGUGAGGUCUCCCCAGCCACAUGGAACUGGUAAUACUGCACCUUCAAUUGACUUAUGAAGAAACUAGCUCAGAUUGGAACAACAGCCAGGACAGUCACCACCAAGGGGACUUGCCCCACUGGAGAAGAGACCGGAGUGGGAGAGAAACUGUUACAGCCAAUCACUUCCUUCCAGGAAAAAAAAAGACGCAAAUAACAACACAAAAAAACGUGAUCUAAUAGACAAUCCAGAUAUAAAGAACACAAACCCUUUUCCCUACAAUUUAACCAAAUGCUAAAAUGCACCAGGAAACACAGGAUACUACAGAGAUAAAGAUUUGGCCAGCAGAUUAUCAACCCCAGGAAAAGAAAUCCAUUUCUGUAGCAUGCUAUGCUGUUGGAGGCACACGUCACACUUCUUAAUUCAAGGACAGAAAAGCACAAACUAAAAUGCACACUGGAGUAUGACUCCCCCUUCUCUAUCUGCUAAAGCGCUUCGCAUGUGACUUUCAAUCUCUAAGCUGGGAAUCAAUCAGGCAGCCCAGCCUCCUAUAUUUUCUAGUUGUAUUGCUUUGAGCAUCAAAUUUAACCUCUGUGCACCUCAAUUUCUUCAGCUGGAGACAAAGAAAGUGGCUGCACUGUGGCAGAGUGUUUGCAAAUGUUAAUCAUGGUUAUGGUAGCAU
rnacentral:lncRNA from 1 species